rnacentral:lncRNA from 1 species
GAGAGCUCGUACCCGCUAAACGUUCUACAUCCGAGAGCACGAUUGAACGCCAGUGCACCAAUGCAGCCACGAAGGAUUGUGUGGAGCGCUUGGGACAUCGGCCAUGAUUGACGUUUGACCCGUGGCCCCUCAGGACACGAAAUGGAUGAGGGAUGGUGAGACAUCUGGUUUCCAUUGAUUCAGGUAUGCAACACAGGAUCCCGAUCGCGCCCCUUGGGUACGAUGACCGUAUGGGGGGAGAUUGAAGAGGAUGACAGGUAGACAGUUCGAUGCAUCGAGCAUGGAGCCUGCCAACACGCACAACCAUAGCACCACUCAUAUGCCCAUUGCGUACAAGUGGUAGCAUCCACGCGCGCCGGUCCACAACCCACUCGAUAGAUUACUCGACGAGCAAAUGGAGGAAACGACGUGCGAGGCCAUGCCACAACCUCUUGGCAAGAGAAAAACAUGAGGAAGGGCCACGAGACUACCCCUGCCAUCCGACAGGCAACAACAAAGUGACACCACCAAUCCUUGGCCCGGUCGAAACCGCACACGUGAGCUCUGCUGACACCACCCCAAGGGGACGUUGCUCGAUUCAGGGACUUGUUCCUGGGGUCUCAGGGAACGUCGGUUGCGUGCACAGCCUUGUCGAGGCCUAGGCAUUUUUUUGGUUGACGAAAAGGGACCGCGAGACCAUCAAAUACCGAGAGACCUAGCUGGGCCAAGCCCGUAACCGUGACUUCUGCUCGCACCACCCCAGGGAGCCGUUGCCCGAUUCAGAGACUUGGUCUGGGGUCUAGGGCAGCAUCCGUCACAUCCACGGGCUCGAGCUCAGCUCUUCUUUUUUGCAUGCACACCAACCAGUCGAGGCCAUGGGCGCCUGUCGGUCACCGGAGCAACCAGUCGUCGGACAAAAUGGUCGGAAGGCAUGUACGCCCUGUAUUUCGCUCGAGGGACGUUACCCUGGGUGUACGCAAUGGGAGGCCCAUCACGCACACCUACUCCCCCCGUGGAGGGGGAGAGGGGGUGCCGGACCACCACCCCCUAAAGAGCAUUAGAGAUUUUACAUAUAUGCUACCAGUAGAUGUUCAAGUGUCUGAAACGGGGACACUUUUUCCAAACAGGCAUAUCCCGCACCGAGGGUGAGCAAGUGCCGAUGGUGGUUGGGGCAUGUGCUCGUACCAAGGGCCAGCGCGUACCGAUGGUGGUUGAUGCGACUGCCCACACCAAAGGCCAGCGUGUGCCGAUGGUGGUCAAGGCAACUGCCCGCACUAGAUUGAGGUAUGUGCCCACACCAAGGCUCGGCAUGUGCCGAUGGUGUUCGAGGCAACCGCCCACACCAGGGGCCAUCUUUUACCGAUGAUGGUCGAGCCAAGAGCCCGCACUAAGGGCUGACUUAUGCCCAUGGUGCUCGAGGUAACCGCCCGCACUCAGGGCCAUCUUCUGCCGAUGGUGUUCGAGGCAACCGCUCGCACCAAGGCCUAGCAUAUGCCGAUGGUGUUCGAGGUAACCGCUCGCACCAGGGGCCAGUAUGUACCGAUGGUGUUCAAGGUAAUCGCCUGCACUAGGGGCCAUCUUGUGCCGAUGGUGGUCGAGGCAAGAGCCCACACUAAGGGUCGGCUUGUGCCGAUGGUGCUUGAGGCAACCGCUCGUACGAAGGCCUAGCAUGUACCGAUGGUGUUUGAGGCAACUGCUCGCACCGAGGCCCAGCAUGUGCCGAUGGUGGUCGAGGCAACCGCCCACACCAAGGCCCAGCAUGUGCCGAUGGUGUUCGAUGCAACCGCUCACACCAGGGGCCAUCUUGUGCGGAUGGUGGUCGAGGCAACCGCCCGCUCCAAGGGUCAACUUGUGCCGAUGGUGGUCGAGGCAACCGCCCGCACGAAGGCCCGGCAUGUGCCGAUGGUGUUUGACGCAAUCGCCCGCACUAGGGGCCAUCUUGUGCUGAUGGUGGUCGAGGUAACCGCCUACACCAAGGGUCAUCUUUUGCCGAUAGUGGUUGGGAAAACUGCCCGCACCAAGGGUCGGCUUGUGCAGUUGGUGGUCAAGGCAACCGCCUGCACCAGGGGCUAUUUUCUACCGAUUGUGGUUGAGGCAAGAGCCUGCACCAAGGGCUGGCUUACACCGAUGGUGGUCGAGGUAACUGCCCGUAGCAGGGGCCAUCUUCUAUCGAUGGUGGUCGACCAAGGCCUAGCAUGUGUCGAUGGUGGUCGAGGCAAGAGCACGCACCAAGGGUCAGCUUGUACCGAUGGUGCUCAAGGUAACCUCUCGUACCAGGGGCCAUCUUCUACCGAUGGUGAUCGAGGCAACCGCCCUCACCAUGGCCCAGCAUGUGUCGAUGGUGUUCGAGGCAACCGCCCACACCAAGGCCCAGCAUGUACCGAUGGUAGUCGAGGCAACUGCCCGCACCAAGGCCCAGCAUGUGCCGAUGGUGUUCGAUGCAACCGCCUACACCAAGGGUCAGCUAGUGCCGAUGGUGCUAGAGGCAACCACCCACACCAAGGCCCGAUAAGUGCCGAUG